CAAGCACUUACAGGCGUUCCUGGUGAAUGGACUGGUGAGGUGGAGCGAGGACCGCGCAGCAGCAGCUGCACCACCACCGGCUGCAGAUGAGGGACGGCUGGGACCUCUGCACUCCUACAGUGGCCACCUCAAGCACGUUGUUAACCAGAAGAGCCAAAGAGUGCUUGGUCUUCAGGUGGUUAAGGACUUCACCGAGCUGGCUAAGUACACAGGUAUGCGAUGUGAAAACACCUCAUUUCAUAACAGAGCAAAACGAGCCGUGACUGAUUCCUUCUCUGUGUGAGAGGGGAGCACAUCGGAGUUGAGUACCUGUACCAGCAGAAAGGCAAAGUGCUUGAGGACGUCAGCCUGGACCCUGACACUCCGGACGAGGCUCCUACCAUCGAGGCGCUGGAGGAGGACGAGGGCAUCGAGGAAGACUUAGCGGACCCUACAGUCUUCGGGCCCGAUACUCCAUCCUCCAGCGUGGCAGCAUCUCGGUCAGGAGAACAUCCAGGGUCCUGAUGGCCUGGGUACCAGCACGUCCUGAACCUGGCCUAGGCGCUGGUGGAAGGGAGGAACCUUCUGGGGCUGCCUGAGAGUAGAACGACUCAUCCUGCUUUGGACUCGCUUGGCGGAGCAGGACAAGCGGCGAGUCAACUACCCUCCCAGAUACCGGGAGAGGCAACCAAAGAGCCGGUUCAAGGCAGCGAAGGGGAAGAACACCUCCUGUGCUGGAAAGGAGAGUCUCCAACGCUGCCUCCUCGGGGUCAACUCAGGGCCUUCCACCUGGCCAGUGCCAGCCGCCUGGUGGAGGCCACCAGAACUAAUAACUACCCCACCAUACACAAGCACUCACAUACACACAACCAGAGUGACACCCCCCCCCCCCCCGGGG